GACGAACGCUGGCGGCGUGCUUAACACAUGCAAGUCGAACGGUGAACCUCUUCGGAGGGGAUCAGUGGCGAACGGGUGAGUAACACGUGGGCAACCUGCUCCCGGCUCUGGGAUAACUCCAAGAAAUUGGGGCUAAUACCGGAUGUUCACCGCUUCCCGCAUGGGUGGUGGUUAAAAGGGUUUCCGGCUGGGGAUUGGCCCGCGGCCUAUCAGCUUGUUGGUGGGGUAGUGGCCUACCAAGGCGACGACGGGUAGCCGGCCUGAGAGGGUUACCGGCCACACUGGGACUGAGACACGGCCCAGAAUACAACGGGAGGCAGCAGUGGGGAAUAUUGCGCAAUGGGCGGAAGCCUGACGCAGAGAAGCGGCGUGGGGGAUGACGGCCUUCGGGUUGUAAACAUCAUUAAGCAGGGACGAAGCGAAAGUGACGGUACCUGAAGAAGAAGCACCGGCCAACUACGUG
rnacentral:rRNA from 1 species